rnacentral:rRNA from 1 species
UACGGAGGGGACUAGCGUUGUUCGGAAUUACUGGGCGUAAAGCGCACGUAGGCGGAUUUGUAAGUCAGGGGUGAAAUCCCGGGGCUCAACCUCGGAACUGCCUUUGAUACUGGGGAUCUUGAGUUCGAGAGAGGUGAGUGGAACUGCGAGUGUAGAGGUGAAAAUUCGUAGAUAUUCGCAAGAACACCAGUGGCGAAGGCGGCUCACUGGCCCGUUACUGACGCUGAGGCACGAAAGCGUGGGGAGCAAACAGG